rnacentral:rRNA from 1 species
GGGGAAUAUUGGACAAUGGGCGCAAGCCUGAUCCAGCAAUGCCGCGUGGGUGAAGAAGGCCUUCGGGUUGUAAAGCCCUUUUGUACGGGAAGAAAUCCUGUCGGUUAAUACCCGGCGGGGAUGACGGUACCGUAAGAAUAAGCACCGGCUAACUUCGUGCCAGCAGCCGCGGUAAUACGAAGGGUGCAAGCGUUAAUCGGAAUUACUGGGCGUAAAGGGCGCGUAGGCGGCCUUGAUAGUUGGGCGUGAAAGGCCUGGGCUCAACCCGGGAACUGCGUUCAAUACUGUAAGGCUAGAGUGUGGGAGAGGUUGGUGGAAUUCCCAGUGUAGAGGUGAAAUUCGUAGAUAUUGGGAAGAACACCGGUGGCGAAGGCGGCCAACUGGACCACAACUGACGCUGAGGUGCGAAAGCGUGGGGAGCAAA